CAGUAAAUUACCUUGAUCACAAUUAUGGUAAUAACUUAGAAAAAUAACAUUAAAACCAACAGUCAUGACCUAUUUGAACGAACUGAAACGGCACGAGCAGAUACAGAUCGCACAAUAAUACGUCUCUUUUAAUUACAACGCCAGUGUAAUUCUAUACAUACGAAACGAAAAUGUGGGACGAUUAAAGUUAUUGUAUGCCCACAACCGCAACUUAUUAUAACAAAUUUAUAUCUGAUACUACCGAUAGCCCCGUCUGAUAUGCCUUAUUUGUAUACAAUGAGAAACUGGGAACAGAAAGACGAGUACGCGACCGGAAUACGGAUGAACGCGUUUUAUUUUCGAUCAUCUCGCGGGAGUUUUUGAUGAUGAUGAUGCAUCAUGUGACUCAUUUUGUUCGGUUUUAAGUGGAGGAUGAAAGAAAUACCUACAUACCAACAAUGACCACAUGCCCGAACGAGGACGGGUUCUCUAUUCCGCUGCAAUUCCAUCUUUGGUGUCUGAACUGGUACUUGCACUCGUCAGUUGCCAUCCUUAUUCCAUCUCCUACAGCUACCAUGGCAUCUACAAAAAUGAGAGAAAUAUUAAUUUAUAAACAGAUUCUUACCCGGUGAUUGUCUGCACAUCUCUCUCUGCCUUGGCGUCAAACCUGGUAUCCUAGAGCAGAACACUUCUGCCCCCAAGUUGAAAACGCCGUAUACUAUCCUGAAAUAAACAAUUAAAAAUAAUAUAAGCAACAAUUAUUUUAUAUUAAAUUUAGCAAUUUAUUCGUAACGUAAACGAUAAAACAUUUAUGAUAAUCAGUUGCGUUUCUAUUACUGAUGAUGUGAUUUUUCACUUAUAAAUAAUUGAA